AAUGAACGCUGGCGGCAGGAUUAACACAUGCAAGUCGAACGAGUGGCGGACGGGUGAGUAAUGCUUGGGAAUCUAGCUUAUGGAGGGGGAUAACUACGGGAAACUGUAGCUAAUACCGCGUACCAUAGGAUGAGCCCAAGUGGGCUUAGGUAUUUGGUGAGGUAAAGGCCCACCAAGCCGACGAGCUCUAGCUGGUCGGAGCGGAUGACCGUGCAACCUGGUACUGGUACACGGCCCAGACGCCUACGUGAGGCCGCAGUGGGGAAUAUUGCGCAAUGGGGGCAACCUGACGCAGCCCUGCCGCGUGAAUGAAGAAGUUCUUCGGGUUGUAAAGUUCUUUCGGUAGCGAGGCGUUAACUACAGAAGAAGCACCGGCUAACUCCGUGCCAGCAGCCGCGGUAAUUC
rnacentral:rRNA from 1 species